UACAGAGGUCUCAAGCGUUGUUCGGAUUCAUUGGGCGUAAAGGGUGCGUAGGCGGCGCGGUAAGUCGGGUGUGAAAUCUUGGAGCUUAACUCCGAAACUGCAUUCGAUACUGCCGUGCUUGAGGACUGGAGAGGAGACUGGAAUUCCUGGUGUAGCGGUGAAAAUGCGCAGAUAUCAGGAGGAACACCGGUGGCGAAGGCGGGGUCUCUGGGCCAUAACUGACGCUGAGGAGCGAAAAGCGUGGGGGAGC
rnacentral:rRNA from 1 species